GGACAUUGCUCAGUGGCAGAGUGUCUGCCUUUCAUGCAUAAGGUCCCAGGUUCAAUCCCUGGAAUGGAACAGCUUCA